rnacentral:SRP_RNA from 1 species
GCUGGGCAUGGUGACGGGUGCCUGUAGUCCCAGUUACUUGGGAGGCUGAGGCAGGAUAAUUGCUUGAACCCAGGAGGUGGAGGUUGCAGUGAGCCGCUAUUGUGCCACUGCACUCCAGCCUGGGUGACAAAGUGAGAUUCUGUCUCCA